rnacentral:rRNA from 1 species
GACGAACGCUGGCGGCGUGCUUAACACAUGCAAGUCGAACGAUGAAGCCUAGCUUGCUAGGUGGAUUAGUGGCGAACGGGUGAGUAAUACGUGAGUGACCUACCUUUGACUCUGGGAUAAGCCUGGGAAACUGGGUCUAAUACCGGAUACGACCAAUCUCUGCAUGGGGUGUUGGUGGAAAGCGUUAUGGAGUGGUUUUAGAUGGGCUCACGGCCUAUCAGCUUGUUGGUGAGGUAAUGGCUUACCAAGGCGACGACGGGUAGCCGGCCUGAGAGGGUGACCGGCCACACUGGGACUGAGACACGGCCCAGACUCCUACGGGAGGCAGCAGUGGGGAAUAUUGCACAAUGGGCGCAAGCCUGAUGCAGCGACGCCGCGUGAGGGAUGACGGCCUUCGGGUUGUAAACCUCUGUUAGCAUCGAAGAAGCGAAAGUGACGGUAGGUGCAGAGAAAGCGCCGGCUAACUACGUGCCAGCAGCCGCGGUAAUACGUAGGGCGCGAGCGUUGUCCGGAAUUAUUGGGCGUAAAGAGCUUGUAGGGCGGUUGGUCGCGUCUGCUGUGAAAGGCCGGGGCUUAACUCCGGUUUUGCAGUGGGUACGGGCUAACUAGAGUGCAGUAGGGGAGACUGGAAUUCCUGGUGUAGCGGUGGAAUGCACAGAUAUCAGGAGGAACACCGAUGGCGAAGGCAGGUCUCUGGGCUGUAACUGACGCUGAGAAGCGAAAGCAUGGGGAGCGAACAGGAUUAGAUACCCUGGUAGUCCAUGCCGUAAACGUUGGGCACUAGGUGUGGGGGACAUUCCACGUUUUCCGCGCCGUAGCUAACGCAUUAAGUGCCCCGCCUGGGGAGUACGGCCGCAAGGCUAAAACUCAAAGGAAUUGACGGGGGCCCGCACAAGCGGCGGAGCAUGCGGAUUAAUUCGAUGCAACGCGAAGAACCUUACCAAGGCUUGACAUGCAUUAGAUCGCGUCAGAGAUGGCGUUUCCCUUCGGGGCUGGUGUACAGGUGGUGCAUGGUUGUCGUCAGCUCGUGUCGUGAGAUGUUGGGUUAAGUCCCGCAACGAGCGCAACCCUCGUUCUAUGUUGCCAGCGGUUCGGCCGGGGACUCAUAGGAGACUGCCGGGGUUAACUCGGAGGAAGGUGGGGAUGACGUCAAAUCAUCAUGCCCCUUAUGUCUUGGGCUUCACGCAUGCUACAAUGGCCGGUACAGAGGGUUGCGAUACUGUGAGGUGGAGCUAAUCCCUUAAAGCCGGUCUCAGUUCGGAUUGGGGUCUGCAACUCGACCCCAUGAAGUCGGAGUCGCUAGUAAUCGCAGAUCAGCAACGCUGCGGUGAAUACGUUCCCGGGCCU